rnacentral:rRNA from 1 species
GGUUUCGAUUAUGGCUCAGGAUGAACGCUGGCGGCGUGCUCAACACAUGCAAGUCGAACGAACCUUCGGGUUAGUGGCGGACGGGUGAGUAACGCGUGAGAAUCUGCCCUCAGGAGGGGGAUAACAGCUGGAAACGGCUGCUAAUACCCCAUAUGCCGCGAGGUGAAAUGAAUUUCGCCUGAGGAUGAGCUCGCGUCUGAUUAGCUAGUUGGUGUGGGUAAUGGCUCACCAAGGCAUCGAUCAGUAGCUGGUCUGAGAGGAUGAUCAGCCACACUGGGACUGAGACACGGCCCAGACUCCUACGGGAGGCAGCAGUGGGGAAUUUUCCGCAAUGGGCGAAAGCCUGACGGAGCAACGCCGCGUGAGGGAUGAAGGCCUCUGGGCUGUAAACCUCUUUUAUCAAGGAAGAAGAUCUGACGGUACUUGAUGAAUAAGCCACGGCUAAUUCCGUGC